CCUACGGGUGGCAGCAGUAGGGAAUCUUCCACAAUGGACGAAAGUCUGAUGGAGCAACGCCGCGUGAGUGAAGAAGGGUUUCGGCUCGUAAAGCUCUGUUGGCAGUGAAGAAAAAUAGAGGUAGUAACUGGCCUUCAUUUGACGGUAAUUUCUUAGAAAGUGACGGCUAACUACGUGCCAGCAGCUGCGGUAAUACGUAGGUGACAAGCGUUGUCCGGAUUUAUUGGGCGUAAAGCGAGUGCAGGCGGUUGGAUAAGUCUGAUGUGAAAGCCUACGGCUCAACCGGGGAAUUGCAUCAGAAACUGUUGAACUUGAGUGCAGGAGAGGAGAGUGGAACUCCAUGUGUAGCGGUGGAAUGCGUAGAUAUAAGGAAGAACACCAGUGGCGAAGGCGGCUCUCUGGUCUGCAACUGACGCUGAGGCUCGAAAGCAUGGGUAGCGAACAGGAUUAGAUACCCUAGUAGUC
rnacentral:rRNA from 1 species